rnacentral:ncRNA from 1 species
CUAUGACUAAAAAAGUCAUGGCGAAAGGAG